CGGGGGGCAGCAGUGGGGAAUAUUGGACAAUGGGGGCAACCCUGAUCCAGCCAUGCCGCGUGAGUGAUGAAGGCCUUCGGGUUGUAAAGCUCUUUUGGCGGGGACGAUGAUGACGGUACCCGCAGAAUAAGCCCCGGCUAACUUCGUGCCAGCAGCCGCGGUAAGACGAAGGGGGCUAGCGUUGUUCGGAAUUACUGGGCGUAAAGCGCGUGUAGGCGGUUUGCCAAGUUGGGUGUGAAAGCCUUGGGCUUAACCCAAGAAAUGCACUCAGUACUGGCAGACUAGAGGACCGGAGAGGAUAGUGGAAUUCCCAGUGUAGUGGUGAAAUACGUAGAUAUUGGGAAGAACACCAGUGGCGAAGGCGGCUAUCUGGACGGUUUCUGACGCUAAGACGCGAAAGCGUGGGGAGCAAACAGGAUUAGAUACCCGAGU
rnacentral:rRNA from 1 species